AUGUGGCAAGAAUUGUUGGGAGAAAGUAUCCCUGGCGGAGGGAACAGUGGGUGCAAAGGCCCUGAGGUGGGGAUGGAUUUAAUGUUGUUAGUAGCGGAACCGCAGGAAGGCCGGAGAGCAGCGAGCAAGGGAGAGUGGGGCGAGGCGGGUGGGAGAGGGCAGGGCUUCUGGGGCUCUGGGGCUUGCAGGAGACCUUGGGGAGUCCGUAGUAGGGGAGUCACGGUUACGGUUGCUCGGCUGCUAAGGGCAGCGUGGAUGGGAAGAGGGCGUCUCCUGGUGCCGCAGGUGGCGGCCUGGCCAGGGUGGGGGCGGUGGAGGUGGUCACAUGUGGUUGCCAACAGAGGGAGGGCGGCUGCCCAGGGCCUGCUGAGUGUGCAGAGCUGUAGUUUUGCUCCCGCGUCCCCUCCCCUGCACGGUCCUAAGCACAGCGGCUGUCGUUCUGCAGGUGGGCAUCUGGGGAGAGAAAGGCAGUGCCCAGGACCACACGGACAUGGGCGACCCGUGUCCUUGGGCUGCCAGAAGCCCGCCCAGGGUCCACCUGACUGUCCCGCGUCCCUGCUGGCAGAGGACCCUGGUGGGUGCCCCAUCAAGGAUGACGGCCCUGCUCGGUCCCCGCGGCGGGGCUUCCUGCUGUCCUGGGGGCCCAUUACCUCCGCGGCAGGGGAGGCAGGGCUGUGUGUGGGGCAGUGGGCGGGCAGGCCUGAGAGGCUGGCACCUGCAGGCGGGCGGGCUGAGCAGAAGCACGCGUGGGCACAGGCCCUGAGCGUGGAGGCCCGCGGCCCACGGGGCUGCCCCGCUUCGGGUCGGGUUCCGUCUGCCUCCGUCGGGUGCCGUGGGGCCACAUGGGGCCCUGGAGGCCCAAGGCAGAGGCCGUCCGGGGGCACUGGUGGCUGCAGGCCGAGUGCUGGCUCUGCUCCCGGCUGCAGGGGCGAGGCACCUCCUAGCCCGCGACAGUGUGGUACACGAAUGCAGAUGCUACUGGGUUAUAAAGCAGCCACUGGGGCAGAGCUCAGGCGACACCGUCCUUUUCCUAAAGAGGGAAGAGCCAAAGGUCUAAGUCCCUGA
rnacentral:lncRNA from 12 species